rnacentral:lncRNA from 1 species
AUCUCUUUUACAAGUUCAAUACAAAAGAGAAAAUCAUUCUCCUAUAAUCAAAUUUUACAUAGUAUCAGAGCUAAUCGAUCCAUCCUCUCCCGAUUAGGUCCCUUAUGGCAAGAUAUUGCCAAAUUUCCUUCCGACUACCACCACAUACGGCAAGGUUCCUUUACUAGUGUUGGCAAGUGAUUGCCGGACUAUUGCUCAUUGACCUCCACCUUCUCACCAUUGGUCAUGUCCAGUGAGAUUGAGACUGAUCCCAUCCAGGUUCCACAGGCCGUGAGACUCAAUGCGGCUCACAAUCUGUCUACCCCAUACUACAUUUCAUCUUCUAAUAACACCAGCCAUGCCA